GCGGAGGGAUCAUUACCGAGUUUACAACUCCCAAACCCCUGUGAACAUACCACUUGUUGCCUCGGCGGAUCAGCCCGCUCCCGGUAAAACGGGACGGCCCGCCAGAGGACCCCUAAACUCUGUUUCUAUAUGUAACUUCUGAGUAAAACCAUAAAUAAAUCAAAACUUUCAACAACGGAUCUCUUGGUUCUGGCAUCGAUGAAGAACGCAGCAAAAUGCGAUAAGUAAUGUGAAUUGCAGAAUUCAGUGAAUCAUCGAAUCUUUGAACGCACAUUGCGCCCGCCAGUAUUCUGGCGGGCAUGCCUGUUCGAGCGUCAUUUCAACCCUCAAGCACAGCUUGGUGUUGGGACUCGCGUUAAUUCGCGUUCCUCAAAUUGAUUGGCGGUCACGUCGAGCUUCCAUAGCGUAGUAGUAAAACCCUCGUUACUGGUAAUCGUCGCGGCCACGCCGUUAAACCCCAACUUCUGAAUGUUGACCUCGGAUCAGGUAGGAAUACCCGCUGAACUUAAGCA
rnacentral:rRNA from 1 species